rnacentral:misc_RNA from 1 species
ACAAACUUGGUCAUUUAGAGGAAGUAAAAGUCGUAACAAGGUCUCCGUUGGUGAACCAGCGGAGGGAUCAUUACAGAGUUUUCUAAACUCCCAAACCCAUGUGAACUUACCUUUUGUUGCCUCGGCAGGGCCUGUUGCGGGUUCUCUUCUCUUCGGAGGGGGGUUUCUUGCGAGAGCGGCCUGCCGGUGGACUACUAAACUCUUGUUAUUUAUUGUGGAACUCUGAGUUAAACAUACUUAAUAAGUUAAAACUUUCAACAACGGAUCUCUUGGUUCUGGCAUCGAUGAAGAACGCAGC